rnacentral:rRNA from 1 species
GACGCCGGCGGCAGGCUUAACACAUGCAAGUCGAACGGUUGUAGCAAUACAGCAGUGGCGCACGGGUGAGUAACGCGUGGAUAUCUGCCUUUUGGUUCGGAAUAACUCCGGGAAACUGGAGCUAAUACCGGAUGGUUCCUACGGGAUAAAGAUUUAUCGCCAAAAGAUGAGUCCGCGUACGAUUAGCUAGUUGGUGAGGUAAUGGCUCACCAAGGCGACGAUCGUUAGCUGGUCUGAGAGGACGAUCAGCCACACUGGGACUGAGACACGGCCCAGACUCCUACGGGAGGCAGCAGUGGGGAAUAUUGGACAAUGGGGGCAACCCUGAUCCAGCCAUGCCGCGUGAGUGAUGAAGGCCUUCGGGUUGUAAAGCUCUUUUGGCGGGGACGAUGAUGACGGUACCCGCAGAAUAAGCCCCGGCUAACUUCGUG